rnacentral:rRNA from 1 species
AUUGAACGCUGGCGGCAUGCCUUACACAUGCAAGUCGAACGGUUACAGGUUAAGCUGACGAGUGGCGAACGGGUGAGUAAUAUAUCGGAACGUGCCCCGUCGUGGGGGAUAACGCAGCGAAAGUUGUGCUAAUUCCGCAUACGAUCUUCGGAUGAAAGCGGGGGAUUGCAAGACCUCGCGCGAUUGGAGCGGCCGAUAUCAGAUUAGGUAGUUGGUGGGGUAAAGGCCUUCCCAACCAACGAUCUGUAGCUGGUUUGAGAGGGCGACCAGCCCCCCUGGAACUGAGACACGGUCCCGACUCCUUCGGGAGGCAGCAGUGGGGAAUUUUGGACAAUGGGGGAAAGCCUGAUCCAGCAAUGCCGCGUGCAGGAUGAAGGCCUUCGGGUUGUAAACUGCUUUUGUACGGAACGAAAAGACCGCCUUUAAUACAGGUGGCCAAUGACGGUAACGGGAGAAUAAGCACCGGCUAACUACGUG